rnacentral:lncRNA from 1 species
CACUAGGGGGCGCGUCUCUGAGGGCAGGGCCUCCGUCUCCGACGCUGACUUCCUCAGCGCAGCCAGCACUGUCUCCGGUGGCAAGUCGACCAGCUCCUCCCACACGGAUUCUGUGUAGAAAUCCACGGACAAGGCUUUGCUUUUCGAAGAAAACUGAAAAUACAGCAAAGUUACAAGAAAUUGCUACGGAAGGAAAAGAAGGCUCAAACGUCACUGGAAUCUCAAUUCACAGAUCGAUACCCAGAUAAUCUGAAACAUCUCUAUUUAGCUGAAGAGGAAAGACAUAGGAAGCAAGCAAGAAAAGUCGACCAUCCUUUGUCAGAACAAGUUCACCAGCCGUUGCUUGAAGAACAGUGUAGCAUUGACGAGCCUUUAUUUGAAGAUCAGUGUAGCUUUGACCAGCCUCAGCCAGAAGAACAAUGUAUUAAAACAGUAAAGUAUGUAUUUUCUUCAUUUGAAAUCCUUUAAGUGUUGUUUUAUUAUUUAAAAGUACUAUAGGAUAAUUUAUAUAGGAAUUGUAUUUUUUCUUAUUUAACACAUUUUAGAAGUCACG